rnacentral:rRNA from 1 species
GACCUGCCGGACCCACUGCUAUCGGGAUGGGACUAAGACAUGCUAGUCGUGCGUCUCCUAGCCAUGUUGGAGACGCGGCGCACAGCUCAGUAACACGUGGCUAACCUGCCCUUGGGACGGAAACAUCCCCGGGAAACUGGGGCUAAUUUUCGAUAGGUGAAGAACCCUGGAAUGAGUCUUCGCCCAAAAGGCGCUUAGAGCAUGCUUCUAGGUGUUGCCCAAGGAUGGGGCCGCGGCCGAUCAGGUUGUUGGUGAGGUAAUGGCUCACCAAGCCUUUAACCGGUACGGGCCGUGGGAGCGGUAGCCCGGAGAUGGGCACUGAGACAAGGGCCCAGGUCCUACGGGGCGCAGCAGUCGCGAAAACUUCGCAAUAGGCGAAAGCUUGACGGGGCCAUCCCGAGUGCCAUCUGCUGAGGAUGGCUUUUACCCAGUGUAGAUAGCUGGGGGAAUAAGGAGAGGGCAAGUCUGGUGUCAGCCGCCGCGGUAAUACCAGCUCUCCGAGUUGUGGGGACGUUUAUUGGGCCUAAAGCAUCCGUAGCCGGCUGGACAAGUCCUCUGUUUUAACCAGCGAUUAUCGGUGGCUGCGGGGAUCUGUCCGGUAGGGGCGGGAGAG